GACGAACUGAUUUUUUUUCUCUUAACCCUUACACAUCCAGACAAGGGGGAGGUGUGGGGAGAGCAGAGAUCUUGACUGAAGCUUAGAUAAGAUCUAUUGUGUGCUAAUGUUUUCUACCCGUGCUUUGUUUCCUUUCAUAUCCUUGUGUGGCUGCCAUUAUACAUGCACAAAGACUAAUGUAUGCGCCACCCUUCCAUACAAUGUAAAGCAG